rnacentral:lncRNA from 1 species
GUUUCUCAUGACGUCUAGGGUUUGAGCCCAAAUAGCUUUCUUUUUACAUUAUAAAUAAAACACUACCCCUUCUUCAUCAGCCAUCACACCCUUCACCAAAACUAUCACUGUAUAGCUUCUUUUUCCUAAUCUCCCAUCGUUAUUCUCAAUAUAAGUCCCCAGUGUUUUGAUCGGCUUAUCGAUCUACAAAUUCAUGAUUUUUUUUAUGGGAUUUGCAGAUCUGAUUUUCCCAGAUGAGGAUAAUAGUGGGAUGGGGAUAACUCCAGACAGGUAUCUUCUUCGGGUUGUUGGAAUUGGUGGACUCGGAAAAAUGAUUCUUGAUAUCUUUAUUUAAGUUUUUACAAUAUUAACUAGAUUUCUAGUACUAGAUGAUAAUCUUUGAUAAUCUGGUAGCUUUCCGUAUAUUGAUGAAUUGCGAACAAGAAGAAUGGUGGUUCUAAACAUGGAACAACGUUUUUUUUAUUUAUGUUUGUUGGAUUCUUUUGGUGAGCGUGUAGUCUAUUGAAAAGAUUUACCGGGCUUUAAAUAUCGACAUGAUUUAGUUCGAGAUGUGCUUCAUGAUGUUAUUGGAUGGGAAUGAGGGAAACACGUGUGCGUUGAUUUGACAGGUGUGUCCCUCCUUAUUUGGCUAAGGGACCACGGGUUUGGGGCGGGCCAGACGAUAACCAAGGCGGAGGCGGGCAAAGUAGCUAAGUACGAAAAAAUUUGUAUCGAGAAUCAGCACGUGUUCGUCCUGUUCGCUUUCGAUACCUUUGACGCUCUCGCCCCUGACGCGGUGCGGUUGCUCAAGCGAGUUCAACAGGUGGCAAGCAGUAACACCGCGCAUGUUAAUAGGCAGAAUUUUGUGUUUAGUAGGGUAAGGUUUGCUAUUCAGAAGAGGGUAGCGGCGCAGCUUGUUGCCCUACCUGCCAAUAGUUUGUAAUCGUCCCUCUUUUAAAGGUUAUAUAACAUAUGAUGAACCAAUUGUGAGAAAGAGAGAGAUUGCUUCUAAAAAAAUUAACUAAGGCUUUGGUGAUCGGCGUAUCGUAUUGUAAUUUAACAGGAGUCGUGAUUGUGAAAAAAAUUAACUAAGGCUUUGGUGAUCGGCGUAUCGUAUUGUAAUUUAACAGGAGUCGUGAUUGUGAUUUAACAAGAGUCAGAUGAUUGAAUAGUUGGUUAUGAGUUAUGACUCAAUUUCUAUACAAAGAUAGAAAACCUAAAAUCAUAGCAUUUAUAACUAAGUAAACUUAUUGAUUAUUUUAAUAUCGUUGUGUUUUGGUUUGCUGUUUGUUUUAUAUAUUUGUUCUAGUUUGUUUAAGGACAUAUAAUGUAUUGAGGUAAAAAGGAUAUUGAAAACAAAUU